UGGCCAGGCUGGUCUCAAACUCCUGACUUCAGGUGAUACACCUGCCUCAGCCUCCCAAAGUGCUGGGAUUAUAGGCGUGAGCCACCGUGCCUGGCUGUGCCCUUACGUUUGAUUUUUGCAGAACCACCCUUCCCUACUGGUUGUCUCCUAGAUCCAAGGUGACUUUAUUCAUUUUAGAAUGAACUUACCCCAUUGAUACCGUAACCAGAGUUGGCAUACAUCACGAUUGGCAGAACUUGGUCAUGUUUAGCGAGAUGGAAGUGUUCUGGAAACUCCUCCUUCUUGUAGACGUGGAGUGGUCAUCCCAUGGUCUCAUGUGAUGAUGACGCUGAGGUGCUCUGCAGGCUGUGCUUCUCUGUGGCUCCCACCAGAUACCCGAUGGUCCUGUCGAUUUGCUGAAUCAUCAACUUCCUGUUCUCUGCUUCUGGCCCGAAUCGAUGUCCCACGUUAUCUGGCUCUCUGUAGCACAGAGUCACAAAGUCAAAGUCUUCCUUGGUGAACCAGUUCACAAUGGUAUCGAAGUUCUCCCUCCACUCUGUCUCGCUGCUGUUUGGCUGUCAGAGAAAGGAAAUGAAGCAGUGAAAGCAUCCUCCCAAAAGGGACUUUUAAAUCCUUCUACCUGGGCUGAACUACAGAGAAAAGGAAGCCAUUCUCACAGAAAGAUCUAUGGGAUCACAGAGUGGAGGGGACCUGAGCCCCAUGUCAUGGGACAAGCCCUGGGAAGAUGGCACCAUUCCCAAGACACAUGAGUUCUAUCGUUUGCCACCAUUUCCACUGCCUGGACCAAAGCAGAUGCUCAAAGAGUAUUCCCCGAGUGAAAGGAGGAAUACAGCAUCGGCCCUUUCAAAGAACUCUCCAGGAAGACUUUCCUUCAUCAGCAGCAGGGAAACCUAAUGAGGGUCAUAU
rnacentral:lncRNA from 1 species